UGGAGCGUGUGGUUUAAUUCGAUGCAACACGAAGAACCUUACCAAGGCUUGACAUGCUAGUAGUAGGAACCCGAAAGGGGGACGACCGGCCUUCGGGCUGGAGCUAGCACAGGUGCUACAUGGCUGUCGUCAGCUCGUGCCGUGAGGUGUUGGGUUAAGUCCCAUAACGAGCGCAACCCCUGUUCUGUGUUGAUCUCUCACAGGAGACUGCCCAGGAAUUCUGGGAGGAAGGUGGGGAUGACGUCAAGUCAGCAUGGCCUUUAUAUCUUGGGCA
rnacentral:rRNA from 1 species